rnacentral:rRNA from 1 species
UACGUAGGGUGCGAGCGUUGUCCGGAAUUAUUGGGCGUAAAGAGCUCGUAGGCGGUUUGUCGCGUCUGCUGUGAAAACCUAAGGCUCAACCUUGGGCUUGCAGUGGGUACGGGCAAGCUAGAAUUCGGUAGGGGAGACUGGAAUUCCUGGUGUAGCGGUGAAAUGCGCAGAUAUCAGGAGGAACACCGGUGGCGAAGGCGGGUCUCUGGGCCGAAAUUGACGCUGAGGAGCGAAAGCGUGGGGAGCAAACAGG